CUUUAUCUUUGGUUUUGGCAGGUUUGAUGAUAUGUCUUGGUGAUUUUCUUUUGGGAUCUAUCUUGUAUGAGGUUCGAUGAGCAUCUUGGGUAGAUAUCUUUUCAUCUUUCACAAUGCCAGGGAAUUUUUCUGCCAUCAGAUCUUCCACUGUUCUCUCUGUAUUUUCUGUUAUCCCUCCCUGUUCUGGAACUCCAAUCACACGCAAAUUACUCUUCAUAGAGUCCCCCAUGAUUCUUAGGGUUUCUUCAUAGUUUUAAAUUCUAUUUGAUUUUUCUUCAACUAUAUUUGUGUCAAUUGUCUUAUCCUCCAGCUCCCCCACUCUGCAUUCCAGUUCCUCGAUUCUGCUCCUGUGACUUCCUAUUGAGUUGUCUGAUUCUGUGACUUUAUUGUUAAUCUUUUGGAUUUCUGAAUGCUGUCUCUCUAUGGAUUCUUACAGCUUAUUAAUUUUUUCACUAUGUUCUUGAAUAAUCUUUUGGAUAUCUUUAACUGCUUUAUCCGUGUAUUCCUUGGUGUUUUCUGUAGAUUGCCUUAUUUCAUUUGUGAGGUCAUUCCUGAUGUCUUGAAGAAUUCUGUAUAUAAUUUUUUUAUAUUCUACAUUUGGCAAUUCUAGGAAUGUAUCUACAUCUGGGAAUGAUUUUGAUUCUUUGAUUUGGGGGUUUGUAGAAGCAAUCAUGGUCUGCUUCUUCAUGUGAUUUGAUGUCGACUGCUGUCUCUGAGCCAUCUAUAAGAUAUUGUAAUAUUUUCUUUUAUAUUUGCUCACUGAGUCUUAUCUUCUUAUUUUGUUUUGUUACAAGACACCCAGAUGGGCUACUAGAUUGUGGUAUCGUGAUUGAUUUAGCUUUUGAAUCACUUACGUCCUAUUACCAGCUUGCCUGAGCUGUUACCAGGUAUAUAAGUGUAUGAGUCCAUUCACUAUUCUUGAAUAGAAUCAGCUCAGGUGUCCUGAUAGCUGGUCACCUAGUGUGUGGUGUAGGCUCUCACGUAUUAUCUUAGAGGAGUAGUGGUGAUGGUUGUAUGCACCAGUUUCUAUUAGUGGCAUGGGGUCACAUUUCGAGGAGGGCAGGAUGCUGACAGCCUUCCUUCAAGUGACAGUGAGGUAGGUGUGGCUCUAUUCUCUAGAGCACUCCGGUGGGUGGGCUUUGCAGCUGUAUCUUAGGCACCCAAUGCUUGGGUAGGCGUCACUAUUCUCAGACCCCUCUAGCAGGUGGCUAGGUGAUGUGGGUGGAGUCUCAGCCCUCAGUUCACUGGUGUGGAUCAGCGAGGGCUCUGUUUAAUAGGUAGAGAGAUAUCUGACCUCCAAAACUUGCCUUUCCACUGCUGAGCUAAAACAAUUAUGGUCAGAUCUCUAUCAGAAUUGCCUUUACAUUGUAAUAGCCACCUAGUUACCUGUAGGGUGAAAGCCAAAGACUAUGGGUCUGUUAAUGCCUGGAUGGAGCUGAUUCUGUACUGUUAUUUCAGUUUAGGGAAGUCAGGGAAGGAUUUUUUCUUUGAUUGUUAAAUGCUGCUUUUCUCAGGCCAGGAGAAUGGGUUAGAAAAGAAAGAAGAAAAAAAAUCCAGCAGUGCACUUCACUCUCUGGCACAGAGAAUUCCAAUGUUAAUGAAGCUGGCUGGGGCAAUGAGGGGUGGAAUCAGAUAUAUAGAAGAGAGUAGCCUGGCAAAAUAUACAAAGUUACUUAUGUUGUUUGGUGAGGACUGUUUUUUCUGAGAUUCCAGAGCAUUGUGUCGCUCGUGUGUGGUGGCUGGAUCCCUGCUGAGACUGUCCCAGAGGGUUAGGGCUGCGUCCAUGCUCACACCGUCUCAGGAAGCCACAAUCGGCUCCCCCACACUUAGUCCAAAGCCCAGCACCAGGGUUUCCUUUCUGGGACGCUGCACUCCAGGCUCCAGAACCAGUCGCUGCUUCCCUAUAGUUUUUCGUUUCCCUGUCAGCCACGUCUGUGUGGAGCCUGUGUGUGCUGCCUGGGUCCCCUCUGAGGUUGGUCCUGAGGGUUGGGCCUAUAUCUGUUCUUCCGUGUCUCAGUAAGCCACAAUCAGCCCCACCACUCUGACACCAGGAAACCACGAGGGCUCAAGGCUGUGGCGUGGGACACUGGCUCUGGAAGUGGUCCCUGCUGCAGCGUGGCUUUUCGCUCCCCCGUCACUCAGGUCAACUCCUUAGUUCUGUGUUUGAUGGUCAGGGUUUGUAGAUUGUCCUUUAUGUAAUCAGUUCACUUGUUUUUUCGAGUCUUUGUUUCAAGAGGGAUAAGCGGAAUCUUCUACCUAGUGAGCCAUCUUGGUCCUGCCCCCGUGUCUGCCUCUUUAUGUGAUUUGAUAUUGACUGUUGUCUCUGAGCCAUCUAUAAGUUAUUGUAUUAGUUUAUUUUAUGCUUGCUUUUUGUAUCCUAGCUUCUUGCUUUGUUUAGUUUUGGUAUACCCAAAUAAGCUGCUUGAGUGCACUAGGUUGAUUAUUUUCACCUUUGAAGCUCUAAUGUACUAUCACCAGAUGGCUAGCACUGUUACCAGGCAUAUGAGCCUAGGAGUUCAUUUAUUUUUCUUGUAUGGAUUCAACUCAGGUGCCCAGGUAGUUGGUCAUAAAGUGUGUGGUACGGGCUCUGUCCUACAGUCUUAAAGGGGCAGGGGUCAUUGGUGUAGGCAGAAGUAUCUGGCUGCAGUAGGGGGUCAGGCUCUGAUCAAGGCAGGGGUCUGACAGCUGUGCUCUGAGUGUCUGUGAGGAAAGUGCAUCCCUGUUCUGUAGAGCACAUGGGUGGGUUCUGCAGAAGGGCAGUGGGUACCCAAUGCUUUUGGUUGUAAGUUCUGGGCGGUACUACUUAUCCUUGGAGCCCUAUCACAGGUGGCUAGGUAUUGUGGGUGGAGCCAGCAGUCCUUAUGCCCCUGAUGUGGGUAGGUGAAGACCCUGUUUAAUAGGCAAAGCAGUGUCAAACAUCAAAUACCCAUCUUUCCACCGUUCAGGUGAAACAGUUGCAGUCUGGCAACAAGGGCCUAUUCUCCUGAAAUGGGCCCACACAGGUCCAUGCUGGGGUGAAAGGUAUUCAAAGCCCAUGGACUGUUUGUGCCUGAACAAGAGCUGCUUCUGUCCUGAGCUCCCCAGCUUAAUUGAGCUGGCAGAUUAUCUUUCCCCCAGUUGUGAACUUAUACCUUCUUCAAGGAUGGAAAAAUGGCUCAGAGUGGUACCAGGGCCUAUCUCAGGCCCAGGGAAGUUGACAGCCACUGAAGCCGGCUUGGGGGCUGGGGGCGUGGUAAAAUAAACACAAGUAAUUAGCUUUUGCUGAGAGUGCCGUUCUUCUCUUGUUCUGGAGGUGUGAGUAGUCUGUGCAACUUGCUGUCCUUCCCUGAGCUAAACGCCUGUGGAACGCCACUGCCAGCCCCACUGCAGUCGCUCCAGGGAACGGUGCCUGAGGGUUCCUGGCUAUUCAGGUCCAGUAACUCCUCUCCACUUCUGAAUAGUCUCUCCCUCCCCCUGCCGCUGAGUCCAUUUUCUAACUUUACCUUUGAUGUUCAGGGCUCCUAGCUUCUCAUAAAUAUAAUCGCUUCACUUGUUUUUUCUGGUCUUUUUUGUAAGAGGGAUCACUGGUGGCGUCUCAAUACUCAAAACUUCAUCAUUUCUUCCUUUCACUUUAGCUACUCGACAUUCAAGAGCAACGUUCAGAGUCUCUUCCGACAUCCGUUUUGGUCUUUUCUUUCUUUCCUGUCUUUUAAAGGAUCUCUUGCUUUCUUCAUGUGUGAUGUCCUUGAUGUCAUUCCACAACUCGUCUGGUCUUCAGUCGUUAGUGUUCAACACGUAAAAUGUGUUCUUGAGGUGGUCUCUAAAUACAGGUGAGAUAUACUCAAGGUCAUAUUUUGGCCCCUUUUGACUUAUUCUAAUUUUCUUCAGUUUCAACUUGAACUCCCAUAUGAGCAAUUGACAGUCUGUUUCACAAUUGAUCCCUGGCCUUGUUCUGACUGAUGAUAUGAGUUUUCCCAUCUUCUCUUUCCACAGAUGUAGUCAGUUUGAUUCCUGUGUAUUCCAUCUGGUAAAGUCCACGUGUAUAGCUGCCGUUUAUGUUGGUGAAAAAAAAUAUUUGCAGUGGAUGAGUCACUGGUCUUGCAGAAUUCUUUCAUGAGAUUUCUGGUGUCAUUUAUUUCAUCGAUGCUGUAUUUUCCAACUACUUUUCCUUCUUUGUUUCCAACUUUAACAUUCUAAUGACCAGUAAUUAUCAAUGCAUCUUGAUUGCAUGUUUGAUCAAUUUCAGGCUGCAGAAGUUGUUUAAAAUCUUCAAUUUCUUUAUCUUUGGCAUUAGUGGUUGGUGCAUCAAUUUGAAUAGUCGUAUAAACUAGUCUUCCUUGUAAGUGUAUGGAUUUUAGCCUAUUAGUGACAACAUUGUACUUCAGGCUAGAUCUUGAAAUGUUCUCUUUGAUGAUAUGUAACGUCAUUCUUUUGACUCUAGUGGAAUAUCCAUGUUUGUAAGACUGCUCACAGACUGUUUCACCAGAGAGUUUUCUGGUACCGCAACAUCUACCACUAAUCUCUGUGAUCCCUGUGAAUUGGCAAAAUAAGAAUAGUGCUAUAGAUUUCUUCCAAAUACAGAAAACAUAAGUAUGAAAAUGUUCUUGCUGUUGAUUAUAUUCUUUACCAAUCUGUUUGUGUGGGAUUUUUGGUACUUCACUUGAAAAAUGAGUCCAAGGUACUGUGAUGUGAUUGUUUACUUUGUGUGGCCUUUCUAGCCAUGGUCUUAUAACAUCCACCCUGGUGCUUGGGCAGGACUGUGUGAUAGGGUAAUUGUGGCUCACCAAGGGGAUUGUUUAUUUUCCCUUCAAAGAGAACCAGUUCCAGAGCAAAGAGGAGGAUUCAACUCCCAUCAAGGAAGAACAGCCAAGAGCCGAGCGUAUAUUAUGGACCUGAGAUCCCUGCACUGAGAAGCUCCUAGAAGCAAGAGACUGAGAUAGAGAGAGGAAGCUGUAACCCUGAAGAUGCUUAAAUACAGACCAGAAGAGGAGUUUGGGGCUUGACACCUGACAUCUUAACACCAGUUCCUGUUUCUUGAGGAAGGAAGAGGUAAAAUAAAUCAGCGUUUACUGUUUCCUUCUCCAUCCCCGGAAGUCCUGAUGAAGACCCUCUCAGGAGGGAAGAGGUAAAAAAGAAGGCAGUGUCUACUAUGUCCUUUGCCAUGUGUGUCAGGAAAUCCUCAUGAAGAGCCUCUCAGCUUCAACUUGAACGUGAAUAUGAGCAACUGAUCAUCUGUUCUGCAGUCAGCCCCUGGCCUGCUUCUGACUCAUGAUAUUGACCUUCUCCAUCAUCACCUUCCACAAAUUUGAUUCCUGUCUAUUCUGCCUGGAAUGGUUCAUGAGUAUAGUCACCGUUUAUGUUCCUGAUGAAAGCUUAAAUACAGACCAGAAGAGGAGUUUGGGGCUUGACACCUGACAUCUUAACACCAGUUCCUGUUUCUUGAGGAAGGAAGAGGUAAAAUAAAUCAGCGUUUACUGUUUCCUUCUCCAUCCCCGGAAGUCCUGAUGAAGACCCUCUCAGCUUCAACUUGAACGUGAAUAUGAGCAACUGAUCAUCUGUUCUGCAGUCAGCCCCUGGCCUGAUUCUGACUCAUGAUAUUGACCUUCUCCAUCAUCACCUUCCACAAAUUUGAUUCCUGUCUAUUCUGCCUGGAAUGGUUCAUGAGUAUAGUCACCGUUUAUGUUCCUGAUGAAAGGUAUGUGCAAUGAAUAAGUCAUUGGUCUUGCCAAAUUCUAUCAUGUAAGCUUCAUUGUCAUUUCUAUCAUCAAUACCUUAUUUUCCAACUGCUGAUUUGUCUGCUUUGUUUUCAACUUCGCAUUCUAAAUGAUUGAUCAAUGCAUCACAUUUGAUCAGUUUCAAACUGCAUAACUUGGUAAAAACCUUCAACUUGUUCAUCUUUCACAUUCAUGAUUUGUGUGUAAAUUUGAAUAAUAGUCUUAUUAACUGGUCUUCCUGGUAGGCCUGUGGAUAUUAUCCUAUUGCUCGUAAUGUUGUACUUCAGAAAAGAUCUUGAAAUGUUCUUUUUAUCGAUGAAUAUGAUGCCAUUCUCUUCAGUAUCUCAAUCCUGGCAUAGUAGGACAUAUCAUUGUCUAGUUUAAAAUGUCCAAAACCAAGCUAUUUCAGCUAACUAAUGCCUUGGAUUACUGACCUUUAUGCAUUCCAUUUGAUUUUUGAUGACUUCCAAUUUCCCUAGAUUCAUACUUCCUUCAUUCCACAUUCUGAUUAUUAAAGGAUAUUUGCAUCAGUUUCUUCUCAUUAUGAGUUAUGCCCCAUCAGGAAAUGUCAUUAAAGUGGGAUCUACUUUGAGGAGGUAGCUCUUCCCCACUCGUAUUUUGAGUGCCUUCCAACCUAAGGGGUUAUCCUCUGUCAUUCAAUCAGACAGUGUUCCAGUACUAUUUGGAAGAUUUCACUGGCCAGUUUUUUUUAGAAAUAGAUCACUAGGUCCUUUUUCCUAGUCUGUCUAAAUCCAGAGCUCCACUCAAACCUGUCUACCAUGUGUGAACCUGGUGGUAUGUGAAAUACCGGUGGCAUAGCUUCUAACAUCACAGCAACAUGCAAGCCACCACAGUACAACAAACUG